rnacentral:rRNA from 1 species
GACGAACGCUGGCGGCGUGCUUAACACAUGCAAGUCGUACGGUAAGGCCCUUUCGGGGGUCCACGAGUGGCGAACGGGUGAGUAACACGUGAGUAACCUGCCCACAACUUUGGGAUAACGCUAGGAAACUGGUGCUAAUACUGGAUAUGUGCUCCUGCUGCAUGGUGGGGGUUGGAAAGCUCCGGCGGUUGUGGAUGGACUCGCGGCCUAUCAGCUUGUUGGUGGGGUAGUGGCCUACCAAGGCGGCGACGGGUAGCCGGCCUGAGAGGGUGACCGGCCACAGUGGGACUGAGAUACGGCCCAGACUCCUACGGGAGGCAGCAGUGGGGAAUAUUGCACAAGGGGCGCAAGCCUGAUGCAGCAACGCCGCGUGCGGGAUGACGGCCUUCGGGUUGUAAACCGCUUUCAGCAGGGACGAAGCUUUUUGUGACGGUACCUGCAGAAGAAGCACCGGCUAACUACGUG